GCCAAACUCAACUCCACCAGCCUUACACCUAAAGGUAGAAAGGCUUAGAACUAAUGUCCGAUACGAAGUCAGUACCACAUUGGAAAAGUUUAUCUAUGCUAUAAAGAAAUUAGGUGCUUGUUCACUUUCUCACCUGAUUUGUGGAAAUGACCAAUAGUAAAACAAAUUUUUGGAGCUUUAAGGCACCUCCACCUAUCUUCCUUAUCACUGAGACUGAAAACCAUUUGAUGAUUAUUUGCGAAUCUACUCUCAUUUUUAUAAUGUUUUUUUCUUUAUAAUAUACACAUUAAUAUUUA
rnacentral:lncRNA from 1 species